CGCAUCUGUGCAUGCAGCAUAUCAAUAAGCGGAGGAAAAGAAACUAACAAGGAUUCCCUUAGUAACGGCGAGUGAAGUGGGAAGAGCUCAAAUUUGAAAUCUUCAAGGUUUUACCUUGACGAAUUGUAGUUUAAAGAAGUGUUUUCUGUUGAAGUUUUGGUAAAAGUUCUUUGGAAUAGGACAUCAUAGAGGGUGAGAAUCCCGUAUUUGACCAUUAUUUUCAGCUGUGUGAUACACUUUCAAAGAGUCGGAUUGUUUGGGAAUGCAGUCCAAAAUGGGUGGUAAAUUUUAUCUAAAGCUAAAUAUUGGCGAGAGACCGAUAGCGAACAAGUACCGUGAGGGAAAGAUGAAAAGAACUUUGAAAAGAGAGUUAAACAGUACGUGAAAUUGUCAAAAGGGAAGCGUUUGACACCAGUGUUGUUUUCUCGAAAAUCAAUUAAAAAGAGUUAGAUUUUGUUGUGUAUUGACCUUAACAGCUUGCAUUUCAAUUUUCUUGCUUUUUUUAAUGCACUUUUCGUUUAACAAGUCAACAUCAGUUUCUUUUGUUGUAAAAAGGUCAUUGGAAGGUGGCUUUCUUUUCGGAGAAAGUGUUUAUAGCCUUUGACUCCUGCAAUCGGAGAGACUGAGGUCUGCAGCGUAGAUCCUUCGGGGUUAGAUACAUUUGUGCUAAGUUAUAGCUUUUUAUAGACAACUUGUUGACUAUGAUUAGUCUUGUAGCUUACUCGCUUAUGCUAUUUUACCUACGCUUAGGAUGUUGACACACGCGCGUGCUCA
rnacentral:rRNA from 1 species